rnacentral:rRNA from 1 species
GACUUAUCGUCUCCGAUGCAUCAGAUGUUUUAUGAUCAUGGCUCAGAUUGACGCUGGCNUAAUGCCUUACACAUGCAAGUCGAACGGUAACAGGUCUUCGGACGCUGACGAGUGGCGAACGGGUGAGUAAUACAUCGGAACGUGCCCAGUCGUGGGGGAUAACUACUCGAAAGAGUAGCUAAUACCGCAUACGAUCUGAGGAUGAAAGCGGGGGACCUUCGGGCCUCGCGCGAUUGGAGCGGCCGAUGGCAGAUUAGGUAGUUGGUGGGAUAAAAGCUUACCAAGCCGACGAUCUGUAGCUGGUCUGAGAGGACGACCAGCCACACUGGGACUGAGACACGUGCCCAGACUCCUACGGGAGGCAGCAGUGGGGAAUUUUUGGACAAUGGGCGAAAGCCUGAUCCAUGCAAUGCCGCGUGCAGUGAUGAAGGCCUUCGGGUUGUAAACUGCUUUUUGUACGGAACGAAAAAGCUCCUUCUAAUACAGGGGUGCCCAUGACGGUACCGUAAGAAUAAGCACCGGCUAACUACGUGCCAGCAGCCGCGGUAAUACGUAGGGUGCGAGCGUUAAUCGGAAUUUACUUGGGCGUUAAAGCGUGCGCAGGCGGGUAUUUNAAACACGAUUUUUUAAAAUCCCNGGCUCACCUUGGGAAACCUGCUUUUGUUGNAAACNAGNCAUUAUGGGCCUAGAAGAGUUAACCGGGAAAAANGGGGGGAAUUGGAAUUNCCCCGCGGUGUUACCAGCAGAAAAAUAGNCNUAUAAAAUUUCGGAGGGAGCAGACACCGCAUNGCUAAAUGAAACCCCACACUAUUAACACAGAUAAAGAAAGACCUACANACACUAGAUCGUUAGUCACUNCCAUCUAUUAUCNCCUGUGGGGUCUGUUAAUNNAGUUAGUAUUUUNAACAGACCGAUUGGUAGANAGCUAGUAGUCCGCGCGUUAGUGUAUAUCUGAAGCAGUCAACNGCGCAGUGUUUAUUUAUU